rnacentral:rRNA from 1 species
GACAGAGGGUGCAAACGUUGUUCGGAAUUACUGGGCGUAAAGCGCGUGUAGGCUGCUCGGAAAGUCGGAUGUGAAAGCCCUGGGCUCAACCUAGGAAGUGCAUUCGAAACUUCCGAGCUGGAGUGCUGGAGAGGAAGGCGGAAUUCUCGGUGUAGAGGUGAAAUUCGUAGAUAUCGGGAGGAACACCAGUGGCGAAGGCGGCGACCUGGACAGAUAUUGACGCUGAGGUGCGAAAGCGUGGGGAGCAAACAGG